AUGGACGGUUCGCCGGUACAUCCCGGUUCCGUAAAUUUACGUAUUCGUAGAGGUCUCGUCAUGCCCGAUCAUCCGCUGUUCACCGUCAUGUGCGACACUCAGCGUCAUCCAACCGCUGUCGUAUGCCUCGUAUCUGCCGCCCUCCCUCGUCCGCAAAGCAGAUCUUGCUUGCCGAAGGUGCUCAUCGACGGGCCUUACGGUGCGCCGGCGCGGGACUACAAGCAGUACGACACCUUGCUACUGGUGGGACACGGCAUCCGUGCCACGCCCAUGAUCUCGAUCGUUAAGGAUGUCAUCACCAACGCUAAGCGGCUCGGUGGGGAAGCUGAGUCCGACAACGGCCACCCCGGCGACUCGAGCGCGUUCCGGACUCGUCGAGCCUACUUCUACUGGGUCUCUCGGGAGCUGGAGUGGUUCCGUGGAGUCAUGGACGAGGUGGCUGAGGCGGACGAGAAGCGUAUCAUCGAGCUCCACAACUAUUGCACCACCGUCUACGAUGAAGGCGACGCCCGGCAGGCGCUCAUCGCUAUGCUCGAGUCCCUCAACUAUGCCAAGAACGGCGUCGACGUCGUCUCCGACUGCCGCGUCAUGACCCACUUCGGCCGCCCAGACUGGCGCCAAAUCUACGCGCACAUCGCCCUCGAGAACGGGGGAAAACGCGUCGGAGUGUUCUACUGCGGCAAGCCGGUGCUGACAAAUACGUUGCGUGAUCUUGCGAAGGAUUUCUCGAGAGAUACAAGUACAAAAUUUGAGUUCCACAAGAAAAACUUCUAG
rnacentral:rRNA from 1 species